AAAGAGAAGGGAAACAGAGAGUGACGCCAGACCACGGUCUUGCACUGUCUGAACACGGUUAGCUCUGCACUCCACGCACUUUGCAAUGGGUCUCCUUAAGUGGGUGAUUGCACUCUGCCUCCUCGGUGUGAUGGCAACCUCUUCUUAUGCGUCCGACAUCGAAGAUACGCUGAGGAAGGGCGCAGAUAUUGUGGGAAAGGGUAAAGAUUUCCUUUCGUCACUAAAGGACUGAGACACUCUUUAACCUGAAUACGAUGGAUUCGUAUUCUCAUGACACAUAUACGGUUUCCUCAUUGCUGGAUCAUGCUAUGUUGGCCUCAUGAAAUUAGUGCUGAUGAAUGAAUGUCUUCGGCUGAAGUAAAUAUCAACAUAUCAACAUAUAAA
rnacentral:lncRNA from 1 species